rnacentral:misc_RNA from 1 species
CCAGCAUGUGUGUACCAGGUGGUUUUCAGUAUAUCAGUGUAAAAAUGUAUAUCUAAUCCUUUAGAAUUAUAUUUGAAAAAUUGGUUGAUAUAAUUGUAAAAUAGAAUAGAUGGUUAACGACACCCCAACUCGAAAAAUACAUCGGCUAUUGGGUGUCAAACUAUAGUAAAAUGCAAAACUAAAGUUAUGAACCACAUCAAUAUAACAAUUCAACAGUUAAUGAUUAACCAUGAAGUCCAGCACUAUUUGGCAGAUACUUGUGCUUACAGGUAUUCUAACAAAACAUUCAUCUCAAGGUAACAAGGUGUGUCCAAUAGAAACAACAACGAAAUAUAGUAAUUUUCCAUUGGUACACAUGUGUGAAGAUGCAACUAUCAGUGGUGUUACAGGGUACUA